GAGAAGUUAUAGGUACUCAACGUCAGGGUAUCAGCCGAAGCUCUUCACACGCCAGCAAUGGAGCAGCGCGCGCCAGAGUGUCCCGGAUAAGCAUCGUUCUUGUAUAAGAGGUGCCAGGACUGACCUCGGCCGCCCUCACAUCAUGCAGGAGCGUAAAGGAUGAUGGGCCCAUGACCCCUGCGCACUUAGGAUUUAGACCGGCGGGCUGGCCUCUCUGUUGAGCUUAGGUAGGGCUGCGACGUGUUGAUGUUUCGAGGCUGGGCAUGACCCAUGAAAGUGUGUCCGGCGGGAGUUUAUUUAGUGUGUUGGGUACUAUGG
rnacentral:lncRNA from 1 species